rnacentral:rRNA from 1 species
UGGGGAAUAUUGCACAAUGGGGGAAACCCUGAUGCAGCGACGCCGCGUGAAGGAAGAAGUAUCUCGGUAUGUAAACUUCUAUCAGCAGGGAAGAUAGUGACGGUACCUGGACCUAAGAAGCCCCGGCUAACUACGUGCC